CGCAGGCCGUAGUGGAGGCGACGGCGGCGACGGCGGGGCGGGGCGAGACGACGGCGACGCGACCGACUCCAACCCUACGUCCUUCCCCUUCUUCGUCCUUCUCGCCGAUCUCUCCUCCACCAUUUAGAGUUGGGGAAGGUGAACCUCCGCCUUCUUGGGAUCCAGUACCAACUCCAGAAGUUCUACAAUGAGUCUAUCACUGCGAGAUCGCAUUAGAAAGAGGAGGGAGGAGGAAGAUGAUGACAUGAUGCUAUUUAUUUUUCCUGCCUUAUAUCUUA